rnacentral:rRNA from 1 species
AGAGUUUGAUCCUGGCUCAGAACGAACGCUGGCGGCAUGCCUAACACAUGCAAGUCGAACGAGGUUUCCGCUUCGGUGGUUGCCUAGUGGCGCACGGGUGAGUAACGCGUGGGAACCUGCCCUGUGGUACGGAAUAACUCCGGGAAACUGGAGCUAAUACCGUAUGUGUCCUUUGGGACAAAGAUUUAUCGCCAUGGGAUGGGCCCGCGUAGGAUUAGCUUGUUGGUGGGGUAACGGCCUACCAAGGCUUCGAUCCUUAGCUGGUCUGAGAGGAUGAUCAGCCACACUGGGACUGAGACACGGCCCAGACUCCUACGGGAGGCAGCAGUGGGGAAUAUUGGACAAUGGGCGCAAGCCUGAUCCAGCAAUGCCGCGUGAGUGAUGAAGGCCUUCGGGUUGUAAAGCUCUUUCGCACGCGACGAUGAUGACGGUAGCGUGAGAAGAAGCCCCGGCUAACUUCGUGCCAGCAGCCGCGGUAAUACGAAGGGGGCUAGCGUUGUUCGGAAUUACUGGGCGUAAAGGGCGCGUAGGCGGUACUUCAAGUCAGGCGUGAAAGCCCCGGGCUCAACCUGGGAACCGCGCUUGAGACUGGAGAACUAGAGUUCGGGAGAGGAUGGUGGAAUUCCCAGUGUAGAGGUGAAAUUCGUAGAUAUUGGGAAGAACACCGAUGGCGAAGGCAGCCAUCUGGACCGACACUGACGCUGAGGCGCGAAAGCGUGGGGAGCAAACAGGAUUAGAUACCCUAGUAGUCC